rnacentral:misc_RNA from 1 species
UGCCAUUCCGCCACUGCCUGACAACUCGUUGGCCUGUGGCGAAUCUAAAGCUACUUUUCCGGUCGCCUAAAGUUGGCCGGAUACCAAGAUUUGACUGGGUCAAGUGUCGACCUGAACUUCAACCCCCCGGAAUUUCAAUCUUUCCGGCCAUCUGACCUUUCCAAUCCCUUCUCCGACCACCGAUCUUCCAUUUCCCGUUGUCAAAACCGCC